AAUUCAUUGCACUUGUAUAGCACCUGCCAUCAGCACUCUAUAUAGAUGCUUUACAAAAACUAAGUGCAUUACCUAAUCUGGAAUACAUUUUUGUAGUGAGAAAAUACAAUAUUCCCAUUCUCUUCAUUGAAGAAAUUGAAUUACAGAGCAUUUGUCUUACCUGAGAUAAAUGAAGCUAAUCAAAAGAACGUUUGGCCAACUGUUGGUUGUUUGCUGUGUCCAUCUCUGAACAUAAAGAGGUUGCAUAGACUGGGAAGUAAAUGCACUUAGUGUAAAAAGAUACGCAGCUACAAGGUGACCUAAAUCUUGAGCCAUAGGAGUCCAGGUAUACAUAACUGAAAAUAAUAUCCAUUAUGCCUUGGGAAGUCUACCUUUCAUUAACUACUCUUGUUAAACUGUGUUUGCUGACCACAAGUGGAUUCUUAACAGUUCACCUGACAGGUGGAAACUCUUUACCACUUUCCUUAAGCCCUCUUUGAGAAAUAACUCAGUUCUCUUCAAAUUGAGCCUGUUUGUAUCUUCUCUGAUUUACAUGAUCUCAGCUGGCUCAGAGGGUAUGCUUUAGCACUGGAUAUAGUCACGAACAAGGCUUAUGUCUAGCCCAUGUUGCUUUUUAGAGUUGUAAUUUUUAUGUAAAUCAGUUUUAGGACUGAAAGAGCAGAUUAGAUG